rnacentral:rRNA from 1 species
GGCCUAACACAUGCAAGUCGAGGGGUAACAGGGAGCUUGCUCCGCUGACGACCGGCGCACGGGUGCGCAACGCGUAUGCAAUCUACCUCUUACUAAGGGAUAGCCCAGAGAAAUUUGGAUUAAUAUCUUAUGUGAUAUGUGACUGGCAUCGGUUGUAUAUUAAAGGUUACGGUAAGAGAUGAGCAUGCGUCUCAUUAGUUAGUUGGUAAGGUAACGGCUUACCAAGACUUCGAUGAGUAGGGGUCCUGAGAGGGAGAUCCCCCACACUGGUACUGAGACACGGACCAGACUCCUACGGGAGGCAGCAGUGAGGAAUAUUGGACAAUGGACGGAAGUCUGAUCCAGCCAUGCCGCGUGUAGGAAGACUGCCCUAUGGGUUGUAAACUACUUUUAUACAGGAAGAAUAAGAUCUACGUGUAGAUUGAUGACGGUACUGUAAGAAUAAGGACCGGCUAACUCCGUGCCAGCAGCCGCGGUAAUACGGAGGGUCCGAGCGUUAUCCGGAAUUAUUGGGUUUAAAGGGUCCGUAGGCGGGCUGUUAAGUCAGAGGUGAAAUGCUGCGGCUCAACCGUAUGCACUGCCUUUGAUACUGGCGGUCUUGAGUUAUAGUGAAGUGGCUAGAAUAAGUAGUGUAGCGGUGAAAUGCAUAGAUAUUACUUAGAAUACCGAUUGCGAAGGCAGGUCACUAACUAUACACUGACGCUGAUGGACGAAAGCGUGGGUAGCGAACAGGAUUAGAUACCCUGGUAGUCCACGCCGUAAACGAUGGAUACUAGCUGUUCGGUUUUCGGACUGAGCGGCCAAGCGAAAG